rnacentral:tRNA from 1 species
GCACCUGUAGCUCAGCCUGGAUAGAGCAGUGGCCUCCUAAGCCAAAGGUCGGGGGUUCGAAUCCUCCCAGGUGCG